UAGCGAGGGUUGUGACGAUGUUCCUUUGGUUGGUGGAUGUGCUGGUACAAGAUACGGCUGUUGUCCUGACGGAGAAAGCAGCGCUCUCGGAGAUGACAAUGAGGGUUGCGAAAUUCCUGUAA
rnacentral:sRNA from 1 species